UCCGGCUUAACACCGGCGGUCUCCUUAGAGUGCCCGGCCGAACCGCUGGUAACUAAGGACAAGGGUUUCGCUCGUUAAAGGACUUAACCAAACAUCUCACAACACGAGCUGACGACAGCCAUGCAGCACCUGUGUACGUUCCGGUCUUGCGACUGUCCCUCGCCUUUCAACGAGUUAAUCCGUACAUGUCAAGUCUAGGAUAAGGUUCUUCGCGUAGCCUCGAAUUAAGCCACAUGCUCCACCGCUGGUGUGAGCCCCCGUCAAUUCCUUUGAGUUUCAGCCUUGCGACCAUACUCCCCAGGCGGGGUACUUAACACUUUCGCUACGGCAGGAGGCGUCAUCGGUACGCUUCCUACCCAGUACCCAUCGUUUAAGGCUAGGACUAC
rnacentral:misc_RNA from 1 species